GUGAAAGGGCAAAUUAAAGAAUGAACUUCAGACCUCAUGGUCCAUAUUAAAGAUAGGACACUGGGAACGUACUACAAAGGUGAGUUAGCUCGAUUUGUUGAGAGAGAGCAGGAAGAUCAAGGUGAACUUACACCUCCAUGUAAGUCAGUUUCACUUCCCUAUAUUCUCCAACCGUUGACAGCACCCCUAAAUCCAACCAGCCAUUUUAGAAAUAGUGCUCUCUUGAACAAUAGAGAAACGUAGUGAGAAUCAGUGAAUGGCUCAGGGCAGAUCUUCCCUCUAAGUGGAAAAAACCAAUGGCCUUUAUGUAUGAGGGAUGGCAGAGUUCCACCAUAGUACCUUUGGUUCUUCUAUCAGUUAACCAGGAAAACAAAAAUUUGCCUUUUCACAACGGACAAUCCAGUAAGAAUUUAACACAUAGGCUGCUUCUUCUUUCUCUUUGGUUUUGCUUGGGUUUCCACAAAUAAUCAGUGUGGUAUGAAGAGGCUAUCCAAAAACUAUCCUCAGAGUUUACUCUUGGUUUCCCAAACAAGGAGCCAGUGUAGUCCAGGGGCUCCCCCUCUCCCAGUGGGAGAGCCUGCACUAAGAUUCACUUUCCACAGCAGUGCCCCAGCCUUGAGAGUACCUGAUCCUUGGCAGCUGGCUUUCUAGAAGACCUCCUAAAAGAAAAGCUGACUCCUAUUUCCAGACUGACCAGUGCCCAAAUAGACUAUUUUUCCCUCCACUGACAAAGGGACUAUCCCUGUUACCUAUGGAAAGGGGACACAACAGGGUGUUAUGUUCCUAUCCUGGAACACAAACUCAUCAUGAGCCCAGGAAUCCUCUCUAUGAAUGAAAGGCGUAUGGGACUCCUGUCUUCUCUUGCCAACCCUCGUAGUUUAUCUCUGCCCAGCUUUCUGGUCCACCUAUGGGCAGCUGGCAAACCCACAAGAGCCUCACUCAUGUGUCUGAGUGUUAGCUGGCUUUUGACUGGCGUACACCUCAGUUCUCCUCCACAUGGCCUCUCACUCUCCACUAAGCCUGUGGAUUAUUUUGCUAGGGCUGCCGUAACAAAAUACCAGAGACUGGGGGGCUUAAGCAACAGACGUUUAUUUAUUCAUUCCCAAUUCUGGAGGCUAAAAAUCCAAGCUCAAGGUGGCAGCAGGUUUGGUGUCUUCUGAGGGCCUCUGUCCUUGGCUGAUAGAUGGCCAUCUUGUCCCUGUCUUCCCGUGGUCUCCCCUCUGUGUGUGUCCAUAUCCUAAUCUACUCUUCUUAUAAGGACCCCAGUCCCUCUAGACUAGAGCCCACGCUAGUCAUCUUAUUUAACUUUAAUUACUACUUUAAAGACUCUAUCUCCAAAUCUAAUCCCAUUCUGAGGCAUUGGAGGUUAGGACUUCAACAGAUGAAGUUGGGUAGAGGGACACAAUUCAUCCCGUAACAGCUUACAUGUGCUCAUUCAUCUCAUGGUCUCAGGGUUCCAAGCACAGCAAGAGAAAAAGUGCUCUUUAAACCUCUGCAUGCGUUGCAUUGCUUAAGUAUCAUGAGCCCAAGGUGGUCUCAAGGCCAGAGUCAGGGUAGGGUGGCACUAUCAAAGGACUGGGAUAGAGGAAGGAGGGGAAUGAUCUGUGGCCAUUUUUGCAGUCCACCACAUGUUGUGAUGGAAAUAGAUAAGAGCUGGGCUACUCCAGCCCCUGGAGCACUUCAGCCUGGUACAGGUAGAGUUCAGAUACCUCUUCGUAGAGAAAGAACUUCUAGUAUAAUGAAAUUCAUCCUAGUAGGUUAUGACAUAUUAUAGUGUCAGCAUGAAAAGUCACACAAUUCCCUCAUAAAAUGAGAAAAGCGAUCCCCACCCUUCUUUUCCUCACACAGACCUAAUGAGAUCAGAUGUGAAAACUCCUUGGAAGAAAUAUGUUCUUAUGUUCUAUCAUCCAUCAGUCUCCUUCAGUGAUGUAUGUAUUAUACUGACCAAAUUUGGGGUAUCUGAAUCCAAAUAAUAUAGCUGUUUAAAUCAACAGCAAGUCAUUUAAUAGAGAGAUGUACUUUAUGAAUUUGU